CCCCCUCUCCCUCACCCUCUGUUUGUGUGUGUUUUCUUGAAUUUUUAUAUAUAUGUUCUUGAAAUUCUAGAGUGCAGGAGAAGUGAACCCAAAGGCAUACCCGUUAGCUGAUUCACAGAGUGCUUGUAUUGUUUCAAGGCAAAGAACAAGAAGGGUGCUUUUUUAGCUGCUGGUUUUGGUGGUCUUUGGAAUACAUAGUGGAGAAUCUUCAUGGCAUUUACACUUCACCGACGCUGGACUCGGAACAUAAAAAGCGAUUGAAAAUGCUAAAACUUCUAUAAACCCGAGGAUAUUGAAAUAGAAACAGAGUGCAGUAUGUGGAAGCUGGAUUCUGAAUCUACUGAUCUGUUAUCUGAAUAUCUGGUACCAACUUGUAGUUUGAUGGUUAAAAUAGAAAUUAUUCUCAUGUAACAUAAUUAGUGAAUUCAAAUUAAUAUAGACUCAGUAUGUGUUGUUCUUUAACAAUCAAUGCUAAGUAUUGACACUUCAACUUGCGAUACCAGUUUAUUAAUCCUUGUGGUACCAAUUUAUGUUCUUUUUUCUUUUCUUUAUUGUCUUUUGGUGCACAAAAAAUAUAGCAACCAAGACUGCGGUGCAGAUCAGAAGUCAUGCACAUAAAUUCUGUACAAAGGCCGCCAAAGAGUUUGGAGUUUGGAGUUUGGAUUUUGGCCGAUGGCUAACUAGAUUAUUUUAGUUUGGAGUUUUUGGAUGACUUUAGAUUUUGGUAGUUUGGGCUUUUUUGGUAUAUUGGUUGUAUAUGAUUAAAUGUUGGAUAUUGGUAUUGCGGUUUUUAUGAAUGAAUAUGAAUAGUAUUUUGGGUUC